rnacentral:lncRNA from 1 species
ACAUCUCCUUCCUGCAAUCAUGCGAAGAAGGACGUUUCCUUCCCCUUCUGCCAUUGUAAGUUUUCCUGAGGCCUCCCCAGCCCUGUAGAACUGUGAGUCAGUUGAACCUCUUUCUUUUAUAAAUUACCCAGUCUUGGGUAUGUCCUUACAGCAGCGUGAGAACAGACUGAUACACCACGUCACCAAGUAUCUGUUGCUCACUGCAGACCCUACGUGGGGACGCUCCUCUCCAAUCUCCCCUGCCCUCCCUUUGCUUGGCAUCUCUAGGCACCACGCCUUCCCUCUCCCCAGUCUACCAGGCUGUCAUGUUAGCCUCUGUGUGUCCUCACAUCCCCUUCUAGACUGGCCCUCCCCAUUAUCCCAAACUCAUCACUUACCUUUCUUUUCUCUCAGUCCCUAAUGCAGCUGGUCUUGGCUUGGUGGUUAGGGGCAGAACAAUUCAAUUACAUUGAUUCAUUUACACUAGAGUGUGGCUUUUGGGGCCCAAAGGAGUCUGGUGCUGUCCCGAGCUCAGGAGUUGUGUAGGGAGGAAGGCUCCACCUGGAGGCCUUGAAGCGGCCUCUAGGGCUGAGCAGAGGAGGCAGCAAUGACAUGGUGGAGGCUCAGGACUGUGUGGGCUGACUUCCUGGGCUGCCCUCAUGCCCACCAUGCCCUCAGAGGGCGGCUGUGGCCCCAGGGCCCUGGAGGGCUCUUUCUCUGUGGCUUCUCUGACAGCCAGGU